rnacentral:rRNA from 1 species
UCAAGCGAAGAAGGGCAUACGGCGGAUGCCUAGGCGUUUCGAAACGAAGAAGGACGCGAUAAGCUGCGAUAAGCUGCGGCGAGCUGCAAGU